UCUGUAGCAGGGUGCCGCCUCCUGGCGGUAGGGGGUAUAGCGCCCCGCCUCCAGGAUCCAUGUGCUGUGCUUCGUUGCUACGCGACCUAACGCGAGUUGUUUUUCUGAUACAAAAGAAGAAGAAAUAGCUGAGCUUUUUUUAUUUUUAUUUUUUUUUUAUAGCCUGAUUGUGAUUUUUCUGAGACUUAAAGAAAACGCGCCGGAAAGCAGGUGGCUCAGACGGUGCAGAUGUUGGUAAACCAUCAGUGCGGUGCUUCUGCAGCCUCUGAGUUGCAGGAUGUCUCAUCAAGUGUCCGUCUUCCUGACUGCCACUCGGUGUUUGACCUUCAGGAUGUCCAGAGACCUUCACCUUUCUGGAGCUGGGAUCACAUGAGCCCGAUGUGCUGAUGAAACAUUUCUAAUU